rnacentral:other from 1 species
UUUUCCCUGCACUGUUGGUGAUCUUCAGUGUGUGUUGAGCCAACUCCCAAAAAAAGGGUGACUCCACUGAUAGUUAAAGGAAAAUCGUUUAUCGAAUUUGCUGAGGUUAUUAUGAGGCUACCCACCUAUUUUAUAGGUUUAACUUUCCUGGUGACACGGCAGUGUGGGGAGACA